rnacentral:rRNA from 1 species
UACGGGGGGGGCAAGCGUUGUUCGGAAUUACUGGGCGUAAAGGGCGCGUAGGCGGUCAGACCAAGUCGACUGUGAAAUUCCAGGGCUUAACUCUGGCGGGUCGUUCGAUACUGGUCGACUAGAGUGUAGAAGAGGAUGUCGGAAUUCCCGGUGUAGCGGUGAAAUGCGUAGAGAUGUGGAGGAACACCAGUGGCGAAGGCGGCUUUUUGGUCUGUAACUGACGCUGAGGCGCGAAAGCGUGGGGAGCAAACAGG